CGACCGGCGCACUGGUGAGUAACACGUAUGCGACCUGCCCCGUGCUGGGGGAUAACCCCGGGAAACUGGGCCUAAUACCCCAUGAGCCACGGAAUCGCAUGGUUUUGUGGUAAAAGGAUUUCCGGCGCGGGAUGGGCAUGCGGCGCAUUAGCUAGUUGGUGAGGUAACGGCUCACCAAGGCGACGAUGCGUAGGGGUUCUGAGAGGAAGGUCCCCCACACUGGUACUGAGACACGGACCAGACUCCUACGGGAGGCAGCAGUGAGGAAUAUUGGUCAAUGGACGGUAGUCUGAACCAGCCAAGUCGCGUGCGGGAUGAAGGCCCUUUGGGUCGUAAACCGCUUUGGUCGGGGAGCAACGUGCGGGACGUGUCCUGCAGUGAGCGUACCCGAAGAACAAGCAUCGGCUAACUCCGUGCCAGCAGCCGCGGUAAUACGGAGGAUGCGAGCGUUAUCCGGAUUCAUUGGGUUUAAAGGGUGCGCAGGCGGCACAUCAAGUCAGCGGUCAAACUGCGGCGCUCAACGCCGUAUCGCCGUUGAAACUGAUGAGCUUGAGUGCGUGCGAGGGAGGCGGAAUGCGCAGUGUAGCGGUGAAAUGCAUAGAUAUUGCGCAGAACUCCGAUUGCGAAGGCAGCUUCCCAGCGCGCCACUGACGCUCAUGCACGAAAGCGUGGGUAUCGAACAGGAUUAGAUACCCUGGUAGUCCACGCGGUAAACGAUGAUCACCGGCUGUGCGGUUUAAUUGCGAAUUGCGCGGCUGAGCGAAAGCGUUAAGUGAUCCACCUGGGGAGUACGCCGGCAACGGUGAAACUCAAAGGAAUUGACGGGGGCCCGCACAAGCGGAGGAACAUGUGGUUUAAUUCGAUGAUACGCGAGGAACCUUACCCGGGCUCGAACGGUACAUGGCGUGAUGCUGAAAGGCGUCUCCUCU
rnacentral:rRNA from 1 species